UCUGGGUCAGUCGCUGGGACCAAAGGUUUAGUCUUCCAAGCUUUGAGAUUCCUGCUGAAGCCCAUCUUCAGAGAACUUCUCUCUAGCAGAGAGGUGACAAGACAGAGCUGUGUCAUUAAUUUUCUGGGCGGAAGGAGAAGAUAAGAAAGCGAUGGGUUGACUGGGCUAUUAUUACAGCAGAAAUCGGAAGUAGAAGCCGGAAACUGUCAAAAACCUCUGAAAAAUAUGGUUCCGUGUUGGCAGGACACUGCAAAGGGCCAUGGAUGUGAGCCAGUUGCUAAGUGCCCAAAUUGUUAAACAAAUGGUACUUUUAUUCUUUAGCUUUCCUAAAACAAAAAUAGCAGUUGAUUUUAAAAAUGCAGAAUUCAUGAAAGGGAAGGUAUGCGAAAUAUAACAUCUCCACUCAUAUUUAUGGACUGCUUACAUGCCUCCAAUUUAUCUCUUACAUGUUUCACACCAUGGAUAUGACUUACAGUGUACUCCGUUCUAAGCAUUACCAAUACUGUUGCAUGAACAUUAGGCCUUAUGCAUGAUGUGACAAUGAUUCAGAAGUGUUUCAGGUUUAAUGCAAGCACAACAUUGCUCUGUUGUC